rnacentral:rRNA from 1 species
AACGAACGCUGGCGGCGUGGAUAAGACAUGCAAGUCGGACGAGAUUUUUCGUUGUAGCAAUACGAUGGAAAGUCUAGUGGCGAACGGGUGCUUAACACGUGGGCAACCUGCCAAGAAGUGGGGGACAGCUCGCCGAAAGGCGAAUUAAUACCGCAUGUGAUUAGAGAGGACAUCCUUUCCAAAUUAAAGUCGGGGCAACCUGACGCUUCUUGUGGGGUCCGGGGCCUAUCAGCUAGUUGGUGAGGUAACGGCUCACCAAGGCUUUGACGGGUAGCUGGUCUGAGAGGACGACGAGCCACACUGGGACUGAGACACGGCCCAGACACCUACGGGUGGCAGUAGUCGAGAAUUUUUGUCAAUGGGGGAAACCCUGAAGGAGCGACGCCGCGUGGAGGAUGAAGGUCUUCGGAUUGUAAACUCCUGUCAUUGGGGAACAAGGUGCAUACGUUAACUGCGUGUGCAUUGAUAGUACCCGAAGAGGAAGAGACGGCUAACUCUGUGCCAGCAGCCGCGGUAAAAC